rnacentral:rRNA from 1 species
GAUGAACGCUGGCGGCGUGCUUAACACAUGCAAGUCGAACGGUGAAGGCGGAGCUUGCUCUGCUGGAUCAGUGGCGAACGGGUGAGUAACACGUGAGCAAUCUGCCCCUGACUCUGGGAUAAGCGCUGGAAACGGCGUCUAAUACUGGAUACGAGCUGCGAAGGCAUCUUCAGCAGCUGGAAAGAAUUUCGGUCAGGGAUGAGCUCGCGGCCUAUCAGCUUGUUGGUGAGGUAAUGGCUCACCAAGGCGUCGACGGGUAGCCGGCCUGAGAGGGUGACCGGCCACACUGGGACUGAGACAGGGCCCAGACUCCUACGGGAGGCAGCAGUGGGGAAUAUUGCACAAUGGGCGAAAGCCUGAUGCAGCAACGCCGCGUGAGGGACGACGGCCUUAGGGUUGUAAACCUCUUUUAGCAGGGAAGAAGCGAAAGUGACGGUACCUGCAGAAAAAGCGCCGGCUAACUACGUG